AGACCUUAUACUAAACUUUGAACACGUCCAUUUGACCUGUGUGUGAGUUUCAGGUUUCCUCCCUGCCCUUCCCACUUGUUAAAACAACAAGCGCAAAAAAAACCCCAACAACUCUUGGGUGUAUUAUCAUAGUAAAACCAAAGCCAGAACUUACUCUCAACUGUGCUGUGGUACCUUGCAGUUGAAAACCAGAGGAACUUCUGCAGAACAAAUAAUGCCAGUUCCUACAAUAGCUGCCAUUGCCACCUCUCUGGUGGCCAUGCUAAGGUGCAGGGGAAUUGUAGCAGCAAGCCCGUACCGUCACCACACACUAAAAUAAAUUAUCGGUGGUCUUCUUGAGGGUGCCCUAUUAUCUCUUUCUCAAACACAUCAUUGUAAUGUCAUACUGGUGGAAAGAAGUCCCCAGAAGCAAGCUAGUGAAGACUGAAAUGGAAGGUCAUUCAUCAUCCAUUACUACCUGCUAUGAAAAAGAAAAGCCAGAUUCAGUUCCCGUCACUGGAACGUGAGAACACCUGAUGUAGCAGCUUCAGUUACUGAAAGUGUAGCCACCUCCUUAAAAAAGGUAAGUUUCAUUCAUUUGUCAAGUAUACUGUGUGUCUUUCCACAAAAGUCGGUGAAGUUUCUUUUAAUUAUCUCAUUACCCCAUCAAGUACUAUGAAGUAGUUUGUUGUGACUUCUGUUAAUGUAUUAAAAGUAUUUAAACAAAAUUAAAUCAUUAGUACGCCAGUUUUGUCAUGUAAACAGUUUAAUGAAUACAUAAACAAAGCACAUAUGAAGCAAGAGAUUAAAACAAAAUCGUUACAAUCACCAUAAACUAUAUCAAAAACUUUUACAAGCAUAUUGCUUGCACAGCAGGUUUUACAAAACCAGUGUAUCAUGAGCAGUACCACUCCCUGAAAACCAAGGCCUGGAAAUAAAAGAUCACAGUAUUUACUCAAAGCACAUCAUAUACUAGUCCAACUAGCAUUGCUUUAACUACUUGUCAACAUCUUCACGGUGCUGUAGUAUACAUUAAAGCUUGCAUGAAAAACAAUGUGGAUUGAGUUCAAGUGCAAUAAGAAAAGAAGUAUGGGUAUUCGGAUGAUUACAUAGGUCUGUGUUAUUAUUUGAAACCCUGGUUCCUAAAUCUUUUGCCUUCGCAGCUUUACCAAAACCCUUUUUGUAGAUCCCCAUCACAGCCAUUGCGCAGACCGCUUAACUCUGGAGUAGGGUUUGGAAAUGAAGUUUCCAAAAUGCUGAUCCUACCCCCUGGUUCUGCUCAGAUGGGUAAGUACUCCAGACACUUUGUGGCUGUAGGAAGGGAAGUCCCUGUGGCUACCUCCCAUAUUCCUUGCACCCAAACACGUAUCUUGGGAAAGAAGUACAGGUGCAAGGCUUCAUACAGGCAACAGGACAACUUUACAAGAUUACACGGAAAACUGAAGUUAAUAUAAGAGAAGUGGAUUUAAUCUUUCACUGUCUGGCUUUGGCCUGUUAUCUACUGUCAUUCACAAUGUGUUGGUCCGUUGCAUUUGUCCCAAGUGCAGUGUAAAGUUUAGUAUGUUAAUGAAUAUUGUUAAAUCAGCACAGAAAGGUUUUUGUUUCAUAAUUAAGAGUUUAGUAAGAAAAAAAAAUCAUGAAGAAAAAUUACAAAAGCAUAAUCAACUGAUUUAGUUGCAGUUUUUCCCAUAAAAGAAACAAGACAGUACUCAGCACAUAUUGAAGCUGAAUACAGGCUAAUACCUAAGAGGCAUAAGGGAGAUUUGAUCAUUUUAACAUAAACUUGCUCAAACACUUUACAGAUGUAUUCUAUAAAGAUUGGAAGGGAUGUAAUUUAUAGUUAUGUUGUUGUGCUGCAUGCUUCUUAAAGUGUCUGCACUGCAGUUUCUUUCUGUCACCCUUUUAACAUCUUUAAUACAAUUAAAAUUAAGCUGUGUGCAAAAAUAGCUUUGCUUGGAAUAUUCUACCUUAAAAAAAGUCUUGGAAGUACAAAAUUCAAGCUGCUUUUGAUUGAGUCUGCUAUCAAAAUCUUGAUGGGGCAGGGGGUGGAGGGGACAAUGGCAAAUGCAUUCGCUGCCCUGUAGAGGAGAAAGUAUUUCUGUACAUUCCAGUACUUCUAUUUCUAUUUACUCCCAUGGGACUCCCACGGGCUCUUAAUUUAACUUCAGAAUUCCAUGAUAAGGGAGAACCUGCUCCAUGGGAGAAAAGGAGGCCACAGAACAGUCCCUUCUUUGUUCCUACCCCACCUUUCCUUACACAAUAGUGAAUAUUAUUCAUUUAUGUACUUUUCAGCUAUGGCUAGAAGAUGAAAAUGCCUCCACAAAGAAUUUGUAAUGUGUUUUGCUUGAAUGUCAGCCCUAAAUUUGUACAAAGAGCAAGUGUUGUCUUUGCAUUCCAGUGCCUGCUGGUGUGGGUAGUUCAGCUACAUGCUCCUACUGGGACAGGGGUUGGCUGAAAAAGGAUGAUGGUGAGGAAGGCAGCUGCAGAAAUGCUUUUAAAAAGCUUCAAAAUUUGGUCAGCGAUGAGUGCAAGCAAAUAAGCAGUGCAGCUCCAGGAAUGCUUCUACGUCAAGCCUUUGAAAUUCAACCUUGAAGGUGCUUUUCAGGGUAUCCUAUUUACCAAAGCCCUGUUUGCCUAGCAGAGUUUGGAAAACUGCCAGAUUUCUUUCUUGUUCAGCUCUUCCACGAACACCUUUGGCAUGUCUCACUACUCACACUACAACAUUCAGCAAAUUAGAGCUAUUUAGGUUUUAAGUACUGAUAAGACUAUUAGCCAACUUGCCUUCCUCUGUAUACACACACACAAAUAAAUGACAGCACAAGCCUUCCUUGACACGAGAAACCAAAAGGCAUUGAUUCAAAGGCUAAAUAAAUAAUCGUUUGUGGCACAUUCUCAACAUUUUCAGCACUGAAACUCUCCCACAACGUAGCUUCCUAGGCUAUGUUUUCAUGCAUCGAUAUUAUCAUUGUGGGAAAUGAGGGUAGAGGUGCUUUGGCACUGGAAGGCAGUGCUAACGGGACUGACUUUUGCCAGAAUAACAAAACUUCUCUGUGCUUCUAGACAAAAUUUGUAAGCCAGAACUCUCAAAUUAAAUGUAGUAGUUCUUCAAAAAACCAAAACCAAUCACCCCUAAUCCUGUACUGUUUUUACAGACAUUUAAGUGCCUCAAAAUAAGCUCACUGAACAGCAACAGAGAGAAGACAGGUGCUAUUCUGUCCCCUUGCGCAUGAUGGAUCGUAGAGAGCUGAAUGGAAUCGUAGUGACUACGUUCACCCCAAAGGACACAGUACAGAAAUCUGUACAACUUGCAGCCACUUUUCAGUCAUCGCUACUAAAAAGUGGGUUGGUUGGUUUGUCUUAUUGCUAGGCAAGAACGUACACACCUCUGUAUAGUCUGUAUGCAGAAUCUAAGUUUUUGGUAUUGUUUCCUCGGUAUAAAGAGCAUUUUGUAUAUGAUUUUUCAUUGAGUAAUACAGUAUACAAAUAAACCAGCAAGAGUUGAGCUAGCCAACCAGGUUGCAGAAUACAGCAGUGUUGGGAACAGUCUGUGACAGCUGUGGGAUGAAGAAAAGUGGCUUUUCUUCCUUCUCACAGCAACUGCUUCUGGCAGUUUUUAGUUGCUGUACGAACAUCCCUGUAGUCAGUUGCUAAAUCCUUGUUGUAAGCAUUAUCAUCACAAGCACUAUUGUCCCCGCUGCAUUAAGGGGAGCAACACCACGACCAGAAAAGGCAGUGUGCUCAGCACUGGUGACCAAGUGGGAGAAGCUUUGGUAGUUCUGGUCUUAAGGUCCCAGAGUAUUUUCCAUCCAGUGCUCUACACAUUGCCACAGCUCUGUAGGGAAGUGAUCACAAACCCGCUGUAAACCGCAGUAUAACGCGCCAAUGCAACACCACGAGAGGGCUGAUUUGGGAAAGCUGCACGGACUGACCCGUCCUAGCAAGUGUCUCGGGUUAGAACUGUUGAACAGACAACAAAGAUUGUCAAAGGUUACCAAAAAAUGUGUGGCCAGCCAGCAACACGUUUUGCAACACUUACACUUUGAGCGACUACAUCAAACAAUAUAUUUAGCUAAAAUGAAGAUUUUAGGAGUAGAUCCAUUCAACUGCUUAUGUAGUGUGUAAGCACACAAACACAAGACUAUUUUCACCCUUUGCUAUGUAAAUGAUAUCUAUCUUAAAUUUUGCCACUCAGAACAGCAGUGAACUCAUUAUCUGCAAACUUAUCGAAGGAUGCAGAUUAAUCCUGGAAUAGGAAAGAAUACAGCAUCCUUUAAUCAAUACCUUGUUUUUCUAUUCAGAACAAAGAAAUGGUUUUGCUACACAGUUCCUAGUAUGAAAUGGUUAGAAUACAAGUCUUUGCUUCUCACCAGAAUAAAGCAGCUGGGCUAUUUUGUAAUGCUAUCAACUGACCUUAAAACACGCCCUUGUGCAAGCAGGCUGAGAAUCUGGCCACAGUUCUUUUUCCAACAUCUAUUUCCAAGUCUGUCCCACAAUUAGUGCCAAACUAUCUAGCCAUUGUCUUGCAUUUAGUGCUUUCAUCCAGCUCCAUUUUGCAAAUAUUUGAAAACAACACA